UACGUAGGCAGCGAGCGUUGUUCGGAAUUACUGGGCGUAAAGAGUGUGUAGGCGGUGCUCUAAGUUCGGUGUGAAAUCUCCCGCUUAACUGGGAGGGUGCGCCGGAAACUGGAGUGCUCGAGCGUGGGAGAGGAAAGCGGAAUUCCUGGUGUAGCGGUGAAAUGCGUAGAUAUCAGGAGGAACACCUGUGGCGAAAGCGGCUCACUGGACCAUAACUGACGCUGAUGCACGAAAAGCUAGGGGGAGCAAACAGG
rnacentral:rRNA from 1 species